GCCGUUGUAGCUCAGUGGUGCGUCGAACAACGUGAGACGCACACAUAAAAAAACUCUGCCGCGCAGCGGCACGUCCAUGGUAAGGACGGGGUCAUGGGUUCAACCUGCCUGCCGGCAGGCAGGUCCCCAUCGACGGCUCCA
rnacentral:tRNA from 1 species